UUGGUUGCAGUGAUUAUAAAAAAUUCCUCGUACUGAGUGCCAUAGCCAUGGCUUGACAGACACUUUUACACCCAUAGAAUAUGAGCAACC
rnacentral:snoRNA from 1 species